UACGAAGGGGGCUAGCGUUGCUCGGAAUUACUGGGCGUAAAGGGCGCGUAGGCGGAUAUCUAAGUUGGGGGUGAAAUCCCGGGGCUCAACCUCGGAAUUGCCUUCAAAACUGGAUAUCUUGAGUUCGGGAGAGGUGAGUGGAACUCCGAGUGUAGAGGUGAAAUUCGUAGAUAUUCGGAAGAACACCAGUGGCGAAGGCGACUCACUGGCCCGAUACUGACGCUGAGGCGCGAAAGCGUGGGGAGCGAUCCGG
rnacentral:rRNA from 1 species